GUUUUCUUAAUUUGUCCAUUUUAUAUUUUAGAUAUAACAUUAAAAUGGAUCAACUAAUUUUAUGUUAACCAAAAAAAAUUACAUACCAUUGUUUAUAAGCUGAUAUUCUAAUGAGAAACUAAAAUUAAUUUUAAGAUUAAAAUACCUUAUCUAUUUUUAGCCAAAAGACCCAUGGUUACAGAAAUUAAUGAGACAUACAUAAGAAUCCAUAGGAUUCUACCGUCCCUAGUUAACUACUGUUCGCAUCUAAUAUAUGGCCUUUUAAACUGUUUUCUGUACACAUAAAUGUACAUACUUUACAUAAGAAUAAAAUCAUGUUUGUUGGGAGGCUUAACCCUCCAACAUCAUCUGAGAUCUACUCCUGAGACAGUUUCAGAGAGGAGCAUCUACCUUAUUAACAGCCAGAAUAACUUUUGUAGUAUAUGUGUACUAACUUACAUAUAACAGUCAUGGUAGGCCAGGAAUAGUAUAUUUAUAUUAUUUUACAAAAGUCAAGACACCAAAAAUCCAAAAUCAGCCACCUAGACCAACCCAUACCAACAGGGAAAUGACUUCUUGUCAGAGGAACAAAAAAAUUGUGCUUGCCCAUGCCCCAACAGCACAAACUAAAAGCAAACCUAAUUAUUUGUCUGGAGCACAGACAAAUUAACCCAAAACAAACUAGGAUCCAAAUGAUGAACAGGAAGCCUAAAAUAAUUAUAAUAGGCCUUUGGGAAAGUCCUGCUAUUUUCAUGGAAGGACUCAAAGAGAUAAUACACAGCACCCUAAAUUCUGAAUCUAUAGAGGGCCACCCAUUUUUAAAGGAUAAAUUUAUCAUCCAAUUGGCCCCAGACAUUUGGAGAAAAUUACAAAAAUUGGCAUAUGGUCCUGAUCAACCCUUAGAUCAUACCAUGCAGCUUAAAUAGAGAUCAAAUAAAAAGAAAGAGCAGAGACAGAAAAAGACUGAAGUGCUAGUCUUGGCCCCAGGAGGAGUAAACUUCCCAGGUGGAAAU
rnacentral:lncRNA from 1 species